rnacentral:pre_miRNA from 1 species
CAUAAGAAUAGUGGGACCCACCUUAAUGCUACUUAUGAUCAUAAACAUUGGAGAUGCCCUUAGAUGAUAAAACAUGAAUAGUAAUUCAUGUGUGACUUCUGUUUUUAUUUUUUUUAAAAAAAGUUUCAAAUAAGACGAACGAUUAAAGUUGAGCACGGAAAAUUAUGGCUGCACUUAAA